GCAGAUCAUUCUUAUAACAGACCAGAAGUGACUGUCUGGGUGUAGGUCAUGUGCCCUGUUCUGGGGACUGGAGGAGUCCCAAACAACUGCAUAGACUGAAUGGGAUAACAAGGGUGGAGGAGAGUAGCAUCUCACCGGAAGGAAGCCUCGCAGAUCCGAUGUUUAGAAGUCUGUGUGGCACGCCUCACACCUUCAGACACAGCUAAAUGCCCCGUGCCCCUGGGCCCCCACCCAAUCGCAUCAUCCGCUCACUGCGUUGUGAUUAUGAAGUCAUCUAUCUUUUUCCAUGAACAGAAAAUGUGGAUGGAGUCAGAGAAGCCAGCCAGCUUUUGGAUCAAUGACAGGUGACAGGGCUCGUGAGUGGCAACACCAGCAUAUAAAACCUGGUCACAAGGCAGCCAGUGGGGCUGUGGCUCACUCAUCUUCGUAGCCAUGCUGCAAGGGGCCUGUCACUCCAGAGGUCAAUACGUACUGAAGGGGAAGAAGAGGAAAAGCAGCAGGAAGAAAGAAAUUGCCAUUCAAAGCACUGGAUGGAGUGAGGAGGACUCAUGCUCCUCCAAUGUGGGCGGGAGCCUCCAAUUGGCCGAGGGCAUGGACAGAACAAAGAGCAGAAGAAAGGUGAGUUGUUGGUGUUCCUCCCUCCCUCUCUCUCUCUCUCUCUCUCUC